CUUUACCCAGAGAUCAUUUUAAACACUUUGUAUUUCUCUGAUGAACUUAUUUGCAGGAUCAAUAGAAAAUACUUUAAUAGGUUAUGCCUCUGCAUUUCACAACUGGAGAGAGGAAAGGAAGACGCUUCAAGUACACAUAAAUUGUGAUGCAGCUUUCAAUUUCGUGGAUGUCACCAACAAAGAGACACAAGUCCAGGUGUUGUGACUGGGUUUCGUUCAUGCUGUCUGAGCCAACCAGAGGUCCUGAGGAAGUGUUUAGUGUGAACCAGAUGAAGCCUACUGAUGCUGACUUUCUGAACAGAGGGCUGGCAGAGGUUGAAUUCCUCCUCUCCCUCUUAUCUUUGGCUGAGUCUCCAUUCACCAUUGGUAGUAGGAUUAUUUGCAGAAGGUCAGCAGGAAAAGGUACUCAAGAAUCUGCUUAG
rnacentral:lncRNA from 13 species